rnacentral:rRNA from 1 species
UACGGAGGGGGCUAGCGUUGUUCGGGAUUACUGGGCGUAAAGCGCACGUAGGCGGCUUUGUAAGUUAGAGGUGAAAGCCCAGGGCUUAACUCUGGAAUUGCCUUUAAGACUGCAUCGCUAGAAUCGUGGAGAGGUGAGUGGAAUUCCGAGUGUAGAGGUGAAAUUCGUAGAUAUUCGGAAGAACACCAGUGGCGAAGGCGACUCACUGGACACGUAUUGACGCUGAGGUGCGAAAGCGUGGGGAGCAAACAGG